UGGCAGAUUGUUCAAAGCUCCAAAAUAGUGAGUUUUGAGCUAGUUUCUUCAACUUUUCUUCUUGUUUUCUUUUUCCCUCUUCCUUGGAUAACCUCGAGGAGUAUUACCACAUGUUUACAAGGUAAACAAAGCUGGUAUGUCACCAUUUUUUAGGUCCGAGUGGGGAUUUUGUUAAACUUUUUUAAACUUGUUAUAACUUUACUUUGUUUUCUUGUUAAACUUUUUUCUAGCUCGCUUCCAAACUCUCCCAUGUCAUCAAGAAUCUCAACUUUGGCAGAUUGUUCAAAGCUCCAAAACAAUAAGUUUUGAGAUAGUUUCUUCAACUUUUCUUCUUGUUUUCUUCUUCCCUCUUCCUUGGAUAACCUCUAGGAGCAUUACCACAUGUUAACAAAGGUAAACAAAGUUGGUAUGCCACCAUUUUUGAGGUCCAAGUGAGGAUUUUGUUAAGCUUUUUUUAAACUUGUUAUUAUUUUACCUUGUUUUCUUGGAACUUUUGACACUAAACCAAGUCACCAACUAAUCUCUAUGUUGAGGGACUUGUGUUAAGGUUUAUUCCUGAAAACAUGAGGUUCAUAUGUCUUUUCAUACUAGACGCUAAGUAAUCUUUAAGCCGUGAAAGUGAAGAAACCACACCAAGUCUUCAAUGAUACAAUGUUGGAAGCACUCGUCUUGGUUAACACUCAAUUGGUUACUUAGCAUAUUAGAUAGUUGUUUAUCUAUUCAUACUUAUAUUCAUGACCAUCUGAAUCAUCCAUGGAAUGAUUUGUGCAUUGGUGAAAUCUUCAAGUUAAUGGAUUUAUCCAACCAAUGCUUGACAAUACAUGAUAUAAAUCUCUAAAAACCGAACCAUGAUAUCAACCAAACUCAAGGUUGAAUGUUAUGUGUUAAGGUGGAAGUAUCUUAGUUUCGGAUUCCUUAGGUUGGACUUCUAAUGGGUGACUUAAUACCCAUGAAAAACACAAUUAACAAUAGUGUCCAACUUAAGUAUCCAAAACAAGGGUAACUUGGUGAUUCCAUCAUCUCAAACUGCUCACUCACAUUUGUGGAACUUAUCUUCGCAAGCCGUGAGUAUACAUGACCCAUUUUAUGCUUUAAACAGUAUUUGGGUUGCAACAUGUAUCCUUUUAAAUUACACAAUCACACACAUACAAUCAAUCUUAUGCAAACACUCAAUCUUUAAACAUGCUACUUGUUUUAUAUAUACUAGGAAACUCUUAUGCAUGUUAUCUAUCAUUAACUUGAAAAAGUAGAAAAAGUAUGCUUAACAUGUAUAGCGCUAUAGGAUUAGCACAUUGCCCCGUUUGUUGGGUCAUUGUUAAGUAUUCAAUCUUUGCGGUCUUAUUCAUUUCGUUGAUGAGAUUAAGCUAAUGGACACUUUGGUUUAAUAUGAAGCUUAUGUAAGCUAGUAUUAUUUAUAUAACUUAGUAUACAAUUAACAUAUGGAUUUGAGACUUUAUUCACACUAAUGCUAUGUAGACAAACUUGUAUGCACACCGACAUUAUUUGUUGAGGAAUAUUUUAUAUACAUGUUGAAGAAAAUAUAUGAUGAUGAUAACUCAAGAAAUCUAUUUAGAGUGGACUAGAAACUCACCAAGUUUUAAUUAUGCAUUAUCAUAUUCUAGUUAUGAAAUUCACUAAAUGUUGUACUUUCUUUUCGAAACAUGUAUCGUAUUAUUUGAAUUAAUGGAAUGGAAUUUCUGAGUUUAAUUAUUGUCACAAACUAGUGUUAUCAUGCUUUUGAGCAAUCUUCUACAUCUUGCCUCGAUGUUUCCCCCAUCUUUUGGGGUGUGACACACAAUUUAAGUGAUGAGCAUUUGAUUUGAUGGUGGUGGUUUGGUAAGUAAUAUCUGAAUUUAAUGGUUCUCCGGUAGGAUUAGUUUGCUUACAUAUGAAGCUUAUUAUCACGCCCUGAUUUCCCGGUAGGCCCAGACUUAGGGUUUAUGCGUGACGAUUGAUAUCAGUUAUCACAAUGCACAACAGAAGAUGGAAUAAAAGUAAAUAAAUAAAAGCUUGAAUUUCUUAAAUAAAGUUAUACAAGCUUGUACGUGAAAAUAUCCACAGGUGGAUCAAAUAUAAAAGUGACUUUAGACUAAUAAGGUUUUUUCCGUGGAGUAGCAAAUUCCAAUAUGUCUACACCAAGCCGUUCCAGCCUAUUCCGUAUUUGCUAAUAAACCUGCGCUUAGUCUUUUGAAAAACUUCAGUUUUCACUGGCAAAUACAAUUAACCGACUCUUUUGAAAAUAUUUUCAAAAGUUAUUUGAUACCAUUUGGUAUAUCAUUUUUAAAUAACUUGGGACAAACUAUAUUUUUUGUGACCAGUUUUACAUGCUUGUCAAUACAGUCAGAGACCAGAAAUCAUAUGUCGGUACAUGAUUAAUCGACACACCACAUUUUCAAUAUCAUACACCCCGCGCUUAAGUCGUGGCCAUUUGCAAUUAAAUGAGUCGGGAUAACCAGGACACGGUCGUAUUAACCCCCAAGUGUUUAAGUUAUCAAGCAAAACGAAUUAAAACGUGUUUUUGCAUUCAUAUGACAUCAUUCGCCCUUUUGCAAUGCCCGGCCAAAUGGCUAAUGCCAUAUCCAAAGCCUUUAGAACAUAAAAUAGGCUGAGAGUAUUUACCUGUACUAGUCAUUAUAAUAUCAAGAGUAAAUUGCUAUUUUGGUCCCUGUGGUUUAUAACAAAUUGUUAUAUUUUACAUAUAUGAAAAGUCUUGCAGAAAAAAAAAAUAAAACACCAACGUUUUAAUUUAUUGCAAUUUUAAUCCACAUGACUAACUUCCAUCCACUUUGAUGCUAACUUCAGGUCACAUGCCAAACAUGUGAUAGGCAAUAUGGUAAUUACCCAUCUAUAUUGAAGAAAACAACAAAAAACACCCUUCCUCCAUUGAGUUAUGUAGUGUCUCUUUUAACAAUUGAUAGUGUUGAUGAAAUGCUAAAAAUGAUAUUGAUUUGAUUAUGAUAUCAAGCUUUAUUUCGAUUAAGGUUUAUAACAAGCUGUAACCUUUUAGGAUUUAAUUGAAAGUUAAAAUGUGUUAUCUUACUUUAUUUUUUUAAAGAUUGCUCCUUUUUUGUUAUUGGUUAUCAGAUGUCAACUUCUAUGAACAUUCUUGACAAUAGUUAAUAAAUAAAUAGGACAAUGUAAAAGCGAGUUAGGAUGUUGAUUAACUACUCGAGACUAUGAAAAAAAUAUAAAUAUGCCAUUAAUAAUCUUUUAAAUUCUAUGAUAUAUUAAUAAAAUACAAAAUAUGGACUCAAACAGAGAAAAGUAGAAAACGCUCAUUCAUGCUCUGCUUUCCUACAACCUAUGUCCUAAUAUGGUAAACCAUUCAUGAAAUCAUCUUUUAAUUCAGAGUUUUUGAUCACAACGAAGAAAUGGUGAAGUAUCGAAAGAUAGGUGUGGCGAUGGAUUUCUCCAACCUCUGAUCCAUCGAUUAUUCGUUCUGUUGUUUCGAUUUUGUUGCUUAAACCGUGUAUUGAUUUGCUACAAUUGGUGAAGUUUCAAUGGUAAAUACGACAUGAAUAGGCUAGAUCUUAUUUGCAUACUAACUAUUCAUCAAAUUGUGAUGUUUCUACUUUAUACAUUGAUGUGAGGGUGUUUAAUCAUGUUUUAAAGUGUUUAAUUAUGAGGUUUUACAUGAUUAUGUGUAUGAAAACGGGUUACUUUGAGUUGAUUUUGAUUUACAUGUACUCGGAGCAUAACGGAUGGCUUUUGGAGCUUGACGGAAGGUUUUCGGGAAGCAUUAUGGAGUAUUGGAAGCAUACACACAAGUUGGAAG